CGGGGUGAGUAACGCGUGAGUAACCUGCCUUUCUAGAGGGGGAGUAACGUUCUGAAAAGAAACGCUAAUACCGCAUGAGACUACAGAGCUGCAUGGCUCAGUGGUCAAAGGAGCAAUCCGCUGAAAGAUGGACUCGCGUCCGAUUAGAUAGUAGGCGGGGUAACGGCCCACCUAGUCGACGAUCGGUAGCCGGACUGAGAGGUUGAACGGCCACAUUGGGACUGAGACACGGCCCAAACUCCUACGGGAGGCAGCAUG
rnacentral:rRNA from 1 species